UCCUUGGUAGUAUAGUGGUUAGUAUUCCCGCCUGUCAUAUGUGCGACCGGGGUUCGAUUCCCCGCCACGGAA
rnacentral:tRNA from 1 species